rnacentral:tRNA from 1 species
AGAAAAUUAGUUAAUACUAAUAUAACAUAAAUUUGUCAAAUUUAAAUAAUUUAUUUAAUAAAUAUUUUCUU